GUGGGGAGAAAGUCGAGCAAAGCUAAGGAGAAGAAACAGAAGUGGUUGGAGGAGCCAGCAGCCAUGGAUGCUGUUUGUGCCAAAGGGGACGCCAUCAGCAGGCCUGGAGACCCUCUGGAGGCUUUCCUGCUGUUCAGGAAAUCUGAUCAAAACCGGGUUGAAUGUCUCUACUGAGUGUAGGCCAGGGUCUGGACUGGAGCCAGCCACCAUGGAUUGGGCCUUCGACCUGACCAAAACCGAUAGGCAGACCACGUAUGAGUAGAGGGAGUGGGGCUGGAAGGACAGAGAGAAACGGGAGAAACGGUAGUCACCCAGCCUGGUGCCUCCUCGCUUGAGAAUGCAUUGCCCACCUGUUGCAUUUUUUCACUUCCCGUUUGAUGUGGAGUGCAGAGGAUGAAGUCCUACGUGGGAAGCAAGGUGCGGUGGAAAGGCCUGGGGGAAUUUCCUCCUACAGAGACUGCAGCUCAUGGCCAACAGGACACAGAUGAUGGAGGUUAUGUUAAUGGUGUUCAGGCACAAUCAUAGCACCUACCAAUUCUUCAGAGAAGCCUGCAGUUUGAAAUUGAUGACUCUUCCCCCAGCAUGUCUGGUUGCUGUGGGGAGGACUGCUCCUAUAAGAUCCUGAGCUGGAGGACCAAGUUUGGGGACAGCCAGCAUGCCCAUGCAGGUGGGCACUGUGGUGGCUGCUGCC
rnacentral:lncRNA from 1 species